AGAGUUUGAUCCUGGCUCAGAACGACCGCUGGCGGCGUGGAUAAGACAUGCAAGUCGAACGAGAGAAUUGCUAGCUUGCUAAUAAUUCUCUAGUGGCGCACGGGUGAGUAACACGUGAGUAACCUGCCCCCGAGAGCGGGAUAGCCCUGGGAAACUGGGAUUAAUACCGCAUAGUAUCGAAAGAUUAAAGCAGCAAUGCGCUUGGGGAUGGGCUCGCGGCCUAUUAGUUAGUUGGUGAGGUAACGGCUCACCAAGGCGAUGACGGGUAGCCGGUCUGAGAGGAUGUCCGGCCACACUGGAACUGAGACACGGUCCAGACACCUACGGGUGGCAGCAGUCGAGAAUCAUUCACAAUGGGGGAAACCCUGAUGGUGCGACGCCGCGUGGGGGAAUGAAGGUCUUCGGAUUGUAAACCCCUGUCAUGUGGGAGCAAAUUAAAAAGAUAGUACCACAAGAGGAAGAGACGGCUAACUCUGUGCCAGCAGCCGCGGUAAUACAGAGGUCUCAAGCGUUGUUCGGAAUCACUGGGCGUAAAGCGUGCGUAGGCUGUUUCGUAAGUCGUGUGUGAAAGGCGCGGGCUCAACCCGCGGACGGCACAUGAUACUGCGAGACUAGAGUGAUGGAGGGGGAACCGGAAUUCUCGGUGUAGCAGUGAAAUGCGUAGAUAUCGAGAGGAACACUCGUGGCGAAGGCGGGUUCCUGGACAUUAACUGACGCUGAGGCACGAAGGCCAGGGGAGCGAAAGGGAUUAGAUACCCCUGUAGUCCUGGCAGUAAACGGUGCACGCUUGGUGUGCGGGGAAUCGACCCCCUGCGUGCCGGAGCUAACGCGUUAAGCGUGCCGCCUGGGGAGUACGGUCGCAAGAUUAAAACUCAAAGAAAUUGACGGGGACCCGCACAAGCGGUGGAGUAUGUGGCUUAAUUCGAUGCAACGCGAAGAACCUUACCUGGGCUUGACAUGUAAUGAACAACAUGUGAAAGCAUGCGACUCUUCGGAGGCGUUACACAGGUGCUGCAUGGCCGUCGUCAGCUCGUGUCGUGAGAUGUUUGGUUAAGUCCAGCAACGAGCGCAACCCCUGUUGCCAGUUACCAGCACGUGAAGGUGGGGACUCUGGCGAGACUGCCCAGAUCAACUGGGAGGAAGGUGGGGACGACGUCAGGUCAGUAUGGCCCUUAUGCCCAGGGCUGCACACGUACUACAAUGCCCAGUACAGAGGGGGCCGAAGCCGCGAGGCGAAGGAAAUCCUAAAAACUGGGCCCAGUUCGGACUGUAGGCUGCAACCCGCCUACACGAAGCCGGAAUCGCUAGUAAUGGCGCAUCAGCUACGGCGCCGUGAAUACGUUCCCGGGUCUUGCACACACCGCCCGUCA
rnacentral:rRNA from 1 species